rnacentral:rRNA from 1 species
CACGUAGGGGACGAGCGUUGUCCGGAUUCAUUGGGCGUAAAGGGCUCGUAGGCGGUUUGUCGCGUCGGGAGUGAAAACCUUGGGCUUAACUCAGGGCUUGCUUUCGAUACGGGCAGACUAGAGGUAUGCAGGGGAGAACGGAAUUCCUGGUGUAGCGGUGAAAUGCGCAGAUAUCAGGAGGAACACCGGUGGCGAAGGCGGUUCUCUGGGCAGUAACUGACGCUGAGGAGCGAAAGCGUGGGGAGCGAACAGG